UCUGUGAUGCCCUUAGAUGUUCUGGGCCGCACGCGCGCACACACUGAUGCAUUCAACGAGCCUAUCCUUGGCCGAGAGGCCUGGGUAAUCUUUGAAACUGCAUCGUGAUGGGGAUAGAUUAUUGCAAUUAUUAGUCUUCAACGAGGAAUGCCUAGUAAGCGCGAGUCAUCAGCUCGCGUUGAUUACGUCCCUGCCCUUUGUACACACCGCCCGGCGCUCCUACCGAUUGGGUGUGCUGGUGAAGUGUUCGGAUUGGCCCCGGCUGGUGGCAACACUGGCCGGAGCCGAAAAGAUCAUUAAACCCUCCCACCUAGAGGAAGGAG
rnacentral:rRNA from 1 species